GAGUUCAAACCGGUGUGAGCCAGGUUGGAUUCUAUCUUUAAUAAAAUUAAAUAUUUUAGUACGAAAGGACCAAAUAUUUAUUAUAAUAGUUUUAUUAGAA
rnacentral:rRNA from 1 species